CAAUGGAACGACAGGCGGCGUCGCUGUGCUCCUGCGUUUCGUAAACAGAUUUCGGCGCAGGCGUACUAAACGAUCCAGAGACAACAAGGGAAACUAAUCGAACUGGGUGACUAGAUAAUAAGAUUUGAAAAAAGGGAAGCGGGACAAGACAAAACAAGACACAAUGACUGGUCAGUCUCAAAGUUGCUGCAGAGGCGCAGAGAUCACACCCCAGCUCUCAAGACUCAUAUCAAGUCUGACCCCUGCAGCAGCUUCACAGAGGAAUGUGCUGAGGGUCCAAAAUGGGCAGGAAAAGAGAUGAGAUAGGAUGACGCUCCACGAGCCCAGCUGCUGCACUCCCUCUGGCUGUUCUGCUUCGGCCAUAUGCUGGACUGUG